rnacentral:rRNA from 1 species
UACGGGGGGGGCAAGCGUUGUUCGGAAUUACUGGGCGUAAAGGGCUCGUAGGCGGCCAACUAAGUCAAACGUGAAAUCCCUCGGCUUAACCGGGGAACUGCGCUUGAUACUGGAUGGCUUGAGAUUGGGAGAGGGAUGCGGAAUUCCCGGUGUAGUGGUGAAAUGCGUAGAUAUCGGGAGGAACACCAGUGGCGAAGGCGACUUCCUGGCCUGUUCUUGACGCUGAGGCGCGAAAGCUAGGGGAGCAAACGGGG